CAGUAGCCGCGGGAAUACGUAGGUGGCUAGCGUUGUCCGGAAUUAUUGGGCGUAAAGGGCUCGCAGGCGGUUUCUUAAGUCUGAUGUGAAAGCCCCCGGCUCAACCGGGGAGGGUCAUUGGAAACUGGGAAACUUGAGUGCAGAAGAGGAGAGUGGAAUUCCACGUGUAGCGGUGAAAUGCGUAGAGAUGUGGAGGAACACCAGUGGCGAAGGCGACUCUCUGGUCUGUAACUGACGCUGAGGAGCGAAAGCGUGGGGAGCGAACAGGAUUAGAUACCCCGGUAGUCCCUGUCUCUUAUAU
rnacentral:rRNA from 1 species